GGGUUGUGAGGUUAAGCGACUAAGCGUACACGGUGGAUGCCCUGGCAGUCAGAGGCGAUGAAGGACGUGCUAAUCUGCGAUAAGCGUCGGUAAGGUGAUAUGAACCGUUAUAACCGGCGAUUUCCGAAUGGGGAAACCCAGUGUGUUUCGACACACUAUCAUUAACUGAAUCCAUAGGUUAAUGAGGCGAACCGGGGGAACUGAAACAUCUAAGUACCCCGAGGAAAAGAAAUCAACCGAGAUUCCCCCAGUAGCGGCGAGCGAACGGGGAGCAGCCCAGAGCCUGAAUCAGUAUGUGUGUUAGUGGAAGCGUCUGGAAAGGCGCGCGAUACAGGGUGACAGCCCCGUACACAAAAAUGCACAUGCUGUGAGCUCGAUGAGUAGGGCGGGACACGUGGUAUCCUGUCUGAAUAUGGGGGGACCAUCCUCCAAGGCUAAAUACUCCUGACUGACCGAUAGUGAACCAGUACCGUGAGGGAAAGGCGAAAAGAACCCCGGCGAGGGGAGUGAAAAAGAACCUGAAACCGUGUACGUACAAGCAGUGGGAGCUCGCUUAGGCGUGUGACUGCGUACCUUUUGUAUAAUGGGUCAGCGACUUAUAUUCUGUAGCAAGGUUAACCGAAUAGGGGAGCCGAAGGGAAACCGAGUCUUAACUGGGCGUUAAGUUGCAGGGUAUAGACCCGAAACCCGGUGAUCUAGCCAUGGGCAGGUUGAAGGUUGGGUAACACUAACUGGAGGACCGAACCGACUAAUGUUGAAAAAUUAGCGGAUGACUUGUGGCUGGGGGUGAAAGGCCAAUCAAACCGGGAGAUAGCUGGUUCUCCCCGAAAGCUAUUUAGGUAGCGCCUCGUGAAUUCAUCUCCGGGGGUAGAGCACUGUUUCGGCAAGGGGGUCAUCCCGACUUACCAACCCGAUGCAAACUGCGAAUACCGGAGAAUGUUAUCACGGGAGACACACGGCGGGUGCUAACGUCCGUCGUGAAGAGGGAAACAACCCAGACCGCCAGCUAAGGUCCCAAAGUCAUGGUUAAGUGGGAAACGAUGUGGGAAGGCCCAGACAGCCAGGAUGUUGGCUUAGAAGCAGCCAUCAUUUAAAGAAAGCGUAAUAGCUCACUGGUCGAGUCGGCCUGCGCGGAAGAUGUAACGGGGCUAAACCAUGCACCGAAGCUGCGGCAGCGACGCUUAUGCGUUGUUGGGUAGGGGAGCGUUCUGUAAGCCUGCGAAGGUGUGCUGUGAGGCAUGCUGGAGGUAUCAGAAGUGCGAAUGCUGACAUAAGUAACGAUAAAGCGGGUGAAAAGCCCGCUCGCCGGAAGACCAAGGGUUCCUGUCCAACGUUAAUCGGGGCAGGGUGAGUCGACCCCUAAGGCGAGGCCGAAAGGCGUAGUCGAUGGGAAACAGGUUAAUAUUCCUGUACUUGGUGUUACUGCGAAGGGGGGACGGAGAAGGCUAUGUUGGCCGGGCGACGGUUGUCCCGGUUUAAGCGUGUAGGCUGGUUUUCCAGGCAAAUCCGGAAAAUCAAGGCUGAGGCGUGAUGACGAGGCACUACGGUGCUGAAGCAACAAAUGCCCUGCUUCCAGGAAAAGCCUCUAAGCAUCAGGUAACAUCAAAUCGUACCCCAAACCGACACAGGUGGUCAGGUAGAGAAUACCAAGGCGCUUGAGAGAACUCGGGUGAAGGAACUAGGCAAAAUGGUGCCGUAACUUCGGGAGAAGGCACGCUGAUAUGUAGGUGAAGUCCCUCGCGGAUGGAGCUGAAAUCAGUCGAAGAUACCAGCUGGCUGCAACUGUUUAUUAAAAACACAGCACUGUGCAAACACGAAAGUGGACGUAUACGGUGUGACGCCUGCCCGGUGCCGGAAGGUUAAUUGAUGGGGUNNNNNNNNNNNNNNNNNNNNNNNNNNNNNNNNNNNNNNNNNNNNNNNNNNNNNNNNNNNNGAAGUGUGGACGCCAGUCUGCAUGGAGCCGACCUUGAAAUACCACCCUUUAAUGUUUGAUGUUCUAACGUUGACCCGUAAUCCGGGUUGCGGACAGUGUCUGGUGGGUAGUUUGACUGGGGCGGUCUCCUCCUAAAGAGUAACGGAGGAGCACGAAGGUUGGCUAAUCCUGGUCGGACAUCAGGAGGUUAGUGCAAUGGCAUAAGCCAGCUUGACUGCGAGCGUGACGGCGCGAGCAGGUGCGAAAGCAGGUCAUAGUGAUCCGGUGGUUCUGAAUGGAAGGGCCAUCGCUCAACGGAUAAAAGGUACUCCGGGGAUAACAGGCUGAUACCGCCCAAGAGUUCAUAUCGACGGCGGUGUUUGGCACCUCGAUGUCGGCUCAUCACAUCCUGGGGCUGAAGUAGGUCCCAAGGGUAUGGCUGUUCGCCAUUUAAAGUGGUACGCGAGCUGGGUUUAGAACGUCGUGAGACAGUUCGGUCCCUAUCUGCCGUGGGCGCUGGAGAACUGAGGGGGGCUGCUCCUAGUACGAGAGGACCGGAGUGGACGCAUCACUGGUGUUCGGGUUGUCAUGCCAAUGGCACUGCCCGGUAGCUAAAUGCGGAAGAGAUAAGUGCUGAAAGCAUCUAAGCACGAAACUUGCCCCGAGAUGAGUUCUCCCUGACUCCUUGAGAGUCCUGAAGGAACGUUGAAGACGACGACGUUGAUAGGCCGGGUGUGUAAGCGCAGCGAUGCGUUGAGCUAACCGGUACUAAUGAACCUGU
rnacentral:rRNA from 1 species